rnacentral:tRNA from 1 species
GCCUCCGUGGCGCAGUUGGAAGCUCGAUGGCCCCUGCAAGGCCAGAGGUCGCAGGUUCGAGUCCUGCCGGAGGUG